UACGUAGGGGGCGAGCGUUAUCCGGAUUUACUGGGCGUAAAGCGAGUUAAGGCGGUUGGCAAAGUUGGUUGUGAAAUCUCAGGGCUCAACCCUGAAAUUGCGACCAAUACUGGUCGACUAGAGUGCAGGAGAGGAAGGCGGAAUUCCCGGUGUAGUAGUGAAAUGCGUAGAUAUCGGGAGGAACACCAGUGGCGAAGGCGGCCUCCUGGCCUGCAACUGACGCUGUAGCUCGAAAGCGUGGGGAGCGAACCGG
rnacentral:rRNA from 1 species